ensembl:lncRNA
ACGUGAUGCACCCUGCGGCGUUGUCUUGUAUGGUUUGAGGGCAAUGAUAAGCAAAAGCAUGGAGCCCCAACACUAAAAGCGAUUGUACUCCGAGUAAAAGGAAAGCAUAUAAUUUUAGAUGUAUGUUUAAGUUUAAAAAAAANAUUGCUGAAAAUACUGCACAUUGAAACUAAAGAGAAAAUAAAAUACAACUAUUGCUGUAAGUGAUUUUUCCUCUCGUUAUUUAAAGAAGGUCUGGAUGCAUUCCUGUUAAAGUUUUUCCCAACGUCUUUUCUUUUCAGCAACAAUCAAAUAUGGAGUAUUUUGAAAACAUGCAAGAAUAUCUGAACUCUCUGCAACUGUAGGUAUGCUUCACAAUAGCAAUACUGUUUGUGAUAAACACAGGAGUAUCCCAGCUAAGCUUUUAAUUGCAUCUGAUAGCCAUGCUUGCCAAAACUUCUCUGAGUAAGGUUCUAGACGAGAUCAGGAAACAUGAAACUUAAGUGUACAGCUGUAUUUGUGAAUGUGGAUGUUUUUCUCUGCAGCUGUCCUCUGGGGUGGAUAAUGUUUCACAGAAGAGGAGGGUUAGCUUGCCUAAGCUUGGUUUCCCAGCUGUAAGGCUUUCUGCUGGGUUUGCAUCUUAAAAGAAAAUUCUGGGUGGUCCCGCGGCUGARUGCUGGAGGAUCUCUUGCAGUACUUGCCCAUUCACAGACAUCUUGUUUUGAUUAACUUUGCAGUGCUUGGCUGUUUUCUGGAAACCAUGGACAAAGCUUUGAAGUAGCUAAAUGUACAAGGCACGUGCUGGCUUCAUUCUUAGAGAAAAUAACUUUUUUACRUGUUGCUUUCCCUUAUUAGCAUUAGUAACCAAUGAUGAGCUACUCUUGCCACCUUUUAGAUUAGCCGUGGAAUCAAGGAGCAGAACUGUACCGUGAGUUGCUUAAACGUGAGGUCCUGGAAAAUACCUGUUUCCAUUCCAGUGUGAUCUGAUAACGUAAGAAACGCGAGAAACAUGAUCUGGCAGCUGGGAAACCUGCAGGCAACAUUAAUGGUAAAAGUGAAAGGAACCUGCUGCUUCAGAAAGCAUCACCUGGGACCAAGAUACUCUAUCAGUGGUGCAGCAGAGGCUUAAGUUAUGCUGACAAGCUGCUUUUCCAAUUCCACCACUGACUUACUGUGAGGGGUUUGGAGUAUCCCUUCAAGGGAAAAACACAGUACACUAGAACAGAUUUGAAUCGAAUCAUGUCAGAAAGCUGAGUGAAGCAAACCGAAGUUUCUUAGAUGGCAUAAAAAUCCAGAUUGCAUACUAAGUCUUUGAAAUUAAUUACAAAACUAGUAGUGAAGCUGGAAUGCUGUGAGAAGUCAUGCUGAGUUAUCAUGUUGCACCUGAAAAGUGGUGCUAUGGUUGCUAGACCAUAUAUACCAAUGAAAAUAUGAGGAACUCAAUUUGCUUCAAUGAGAUUUAGUGUUUAAGGUUAUUUUGUGUCUUUGCUGAUGGGUUAAAUAUCAUUAAAGUGGUUAUUAAUUAUUAACUUCGUAGCAAGGUCUGGCUCCCCUUUGUAUACACUGCUUUUGUUCUCAGUUUGCCUGCAUUAAUUCUAGAUGAAGCAAAAAUGCCAAUCCUAAAUUAAUGAUGAUUAAUUUUAUUGUUCUAUGUAGGUUGAUUACAUGAAAAAAAUCCCAGAAAAGAACAAAUUUGAUUAUUUUUCAUAUAGUCCAUCAUGCUUUAUUUGCUAUAAAAUCUUAUGUAAUGUAAUAAUUUCAGAAGCUGAGUGACAUUAGAGAAGAAUCUACCCCGAAUGAGAUAUUUUGAAAACAGUUUCAAAGCCUGUCAUGAAAGAUGGGCAUUCAUUCAAACGAAAAAAUGAUCAAGAGUAGAUGUUUUAGCAAGACUUAAAAAGUGGUCACGGUAAAGGUUUUCUGUAUAAGCAUUUUCUUGCACUUUUUUGGUCUAAAGCUCUAAGCCAUGGUGCAGGAGGCAAUGGCAAGGCUCUGCGCAGCAGGCUGAUGUGUGCUGCGUAAGAACAGAGGUCCUUGUCUGCCAYUGGCUAGUUACAGAUGCUUAGAGAAAAGUAUUUGUGCAUGUUAAACAAAUAAAAAUAAAAAACAUCCCCA